rnacentral:rRNA from 1 species
AUUAAUUUGAGAGUUUGAUCCUGGCUCAGGACGAACGCUGGCGGCGUGCCUAAUACAUGCAAGUCGAACGAACUCUGGUAUUGAUUGGUGCUUGCAUCAUGAUUUACAUUUG